ensembl:lncRNA
GCCAGAUCAGCAGCAGGUGGUGACAAUCACACAGGUGCGUGGGCCAAGAGCAAGAGCCCGUAACAAGCUCUGCCCAGGCAGAGAGGAGCGAGGGAGAGGGAGAGGGGAAGAAAGAAAAACAAAACCUGUAGCCAGUGUGAGCCAGCCAGAGAGACACGGGGACCCUGACACGUACACUGCUGCUACGGUUCAAUAAAAGCAGUUCGUACCGAAGAAACCCCGUGUGUUAUUGCCUCCAAUCAUGACACUGACCAUCAGAUUUUCUUUCAAAUGCCAUUUAGCUCGUCCAUGUGGGCAGCUGUAAGUUUCAGUCAAACCUGGAGAUGUAAAACUGGUUUCACUGUGGACAGAGAUGCUGGUGUUCUAGCAGUUUCCAGUUUGUGGAGGUGUCAUGGCCCAGGAUCUUGGAUUAAGAGUUGCUUCCGCCUGCUUUUCAGGCAGCAUUUAUCCUAAAAACCACCUCCAUCGCCUCCACUCCUGCAGCUUUCAGUUUCCACAUACCCAUCAGACGCUUGAGUUGUCUCAGCUGGGUUUGGGCGGGGGAUCAUGUGACCAUCGACUCUGGAAACCUGACAUCAUUUUCCUGCCAACAUUGAAGCUGUGCAUUUAUUAUUAUUUAUGUAUCAGCUCUUUCCCUUGGUGUCAAUAAUCUGCCGACCAUAGAUGCCUCAGCUUCCCUCAAUGACUUGAUAUCUCACUAUAACAACAGACUCAUCAUCCUCUUAGGCACCUUGGGUCCUCAGAAAACUCGAGCCAGUUCCUUCUCUUGCUCUGGCCCCUGGUAUUCAGCUGAACUUCACCAACUCAAAGCUAUUGGACGCUGUCUUCAGGAAAACUGGACUUCCCUUUCAUAAGGAAAUGUAUCUCAGUCAUAUCUAACUUAUUCUAUUCUAUUCUAAAUGUGCCUGUCUCUGAAACACUUUGGCUCAGCUUCAGGAGGCUGUAAAUAAAACAGAUGUGACAGUCACCACAGGCAUGUUUCAAACUGCAUGUUUGAAGGAAAGUUUG